UACAGAGGGUGCAAGCGUUUGUUCGGAAUUAUUGGGCGUAAAGGGCGCGUAGGCGGUGCGGUAAGUCUUUUGUGAAAUCUCCGGGCUCAACUCGGAGUCUGCAGGAGAAACUGCCGUGCUUGAGUGUGGGAGAGGUGAGUGGAAUUCCCGGGUGUAGCGGUGAAAUGCGUAGAUAUCGGGAGGAACACCUGUGGCGAAAGCGGCUCACUGGACCACAACUGACGCUGGAGGCGCGAAAGCUAGGGGAGCAAACAGG
rnacentral:rRNA from 1 species